rnacentral:rRNA from 1 species
UACGUAGGGGGCAAGCGUUGUCCGGAAUCAUUGGGCGUAAAGGGCUCGUAGGCGGCCAACUAAGUCGGACGUGAAAUCCCUCAGCUUAACUGGGGAACUGCGUCCGAUACUGGAUGGCUUGGAUUUGGGAGAGGGAUGCGGAAUUCCAGGUGUAGCGGUGAAAUGCGUAGAUAUCUGGAGGAACACCGGUGGCGAAGGCGGCAUCCUGGACCAAUAUUGACGCUGAGGAGCGAAAGCUAGGGGAGCAAACGGG